UACAGAGGGUGCAAGCGUUAAUCGGAAUUACUGGGCGUAAAGCGUGCGUAGGCGGUUAUCUAAGUCGGAUGUGAAAUCCCCGGGCUCAACCUGGGAAUUGCAUUCGAUACUGGAUAGCUAGAGUUCGGCAGAGGGAAGUGGAAUUUCGGGUGUAGCGGUGAAAUGCGUAGAUAUCCGAAGGAACAUCAGUGGCGAAAGCGACUUCCUGGACCAGAACUGACGAUCAGGCACGAAAGCGUGGGAAGCAAACAGG
rnacentral:rRNA from 1 species